rnacentral:rRNA from 1 species
AAAUAACACCGCUAAGACAUGAAAAAAUAAUAAACAAAGCGGCUGAGAUGAGACGGGCAGUAAGCCUCGCGUCACGGUCCACGAAAGUCCGGACGAUUCCUUCCGCGGGUUCUCCAGUUCUCCACAGCUCCACGCGCCAACACGUCGCGCUCGUAUAUAUACCUACGCCCGUUCUCCACUUCGUCUCAUCUCCAUUCUCAUCCAUUGCCGCACUCCAUCGGCAUCCAAUUCAUUCAUUCAACCCGACUCCAUCAAAAGGCUUCACGCAUCCGUCGCCGCCCUCUGGUUGCCGCAAUGGCCAGCACGGCCGAGCCGUCCUCUUCGCCGUACUCCGCGUCGGCGCCCGACGUGGAGAUCCUCCGGUCCCUGCGCCGCCUGGCGCGCGACCUGGCCGCCGCCGACCCGCCGGCGCCGUUCCUCAGGGCCGUCUUCGCGUCCGUGUCCCGCCGGGCGCGCCUCCUCGUCGCCGUGUUCGACGACCUGCUGCUGCUGGGCGCGGCCGUCGCCCUGCCGCGGUCCGCCUCGCUCUGCCUCCGCGAGGUGCUGCUCGUGCUGCAGCGCUUCAAGGCCGUCGUGGCCGACUGCUCCGCGCGCAGCCGCAUGCGCCUGCUGCUGCAGUCCGACGAGGUCGCCGCGCGCGUGCGCGAGCUGCAGCACGACCUCGCCACGCUGCUCGAUAUUCUCCCGGUUGGUGAGCUCGGGCUCGCCGACGACGUGGCCGACCUGCUCACGCUCGCCUCGCGCCAGUGCCGGCGCCGCGCGCCCGAGGCCGCGGCCGAGCAGGAGCUCAAGGCCAGCGUGCUGGCGCUCAUCCAGGAAGUCGAGCGGGAGAUCGUGCCUGAGCGGGAGCGCCUGGAGGCCAUCCUCGAGGAGGUGGCCAUCAACGACCCGGCCAGCUGCAGCCAGGAGAUCGAGAUCUUGGAGCGCGAGAUCGGCGACCGACUGGCGGAGCGGUGGACUUCGGCCAUGAUUGCCCUCGUCGGCCUCCUCCGGUACGCCAAGUGCGUCCUCUUCAGCGCUGCCACGCCGCGGCCGCUCGACUCCAAGGUGGAGGCCGACGACGAUGACACCGAGCCUCUGGCGCCGCCGCCGGACUUCCGCUGCCCCAUCUCUCUCGACCUGAUGCGCGACCCGGUUGUGUCCGCUAGUGGCCAGACGUACGACCGCGAGUCCAUUACGCGGUGGUUCGGCGCCGGCAAGUCGACGUGCCCCAAGACCGGCCAGGUGCUGACUAAUCUGGAGCUGGUGCCCAACAAGGCGCUCAAGAACUUGAUCUCGCGGUGGUGCCGGGAGAAUGGCGUCGCCAUGGAAGGCAGCGAGCCUGGCAAGCCCGAGCCGGCGCCGCCGGUGGCCGCAAACAAGGCCGCGGUGGAGGCGGCGCGCAUGACCGCGUCGUUUCUGGUGAAGAAGCUCUCGGCGUCGUUCUCCCCUGGCUCGGACAACCGUGUCGUGCACAAGAUCCGUCUGCUCGCCAAGUCCGGCUCCGAGAGCCGCGCGUUCAUCGGAGAGGCCGGCGCCGUCCCGCUCCUCGUGCCGCUGCUCAACUCCGAGGACGCCGCGCUGCAGCUCAACUCCGUCACGGCGCUGCUCAACCUCUCCAUUCUCGAUGCCAACAAGAAGCGCAUCAUGCACGCCGACGGCGCGGUGGCGGCCCUCUGCGAAGUGAUGGGCUCCGGCGCGACCUGGCGGGCGAAGGAGAACGCCGCUGCCACCGUGCUCAGCCUGUCGGCCGUCCAUACAUACCGCCGCCGGCUCGGCCGGAACCCACUUGUGAUCGAGAAGGUGGUGCUCCUGGUGCGCACGGGCCCCCCGAGCACCAAGAAGGACGCGCUGGCCGCGCUGCUGUGCCUGUCCGCGGAGAGGGAGAACGUGGGCAAGCUCGUGGGAGCGGGCGCCGCUGAGGCGGCACUGUCAGCGAUCAGCGAGGAGGAGACCGCCGCGGCGGUGCUGGCGUCGCUGGCCAAGCGCGGCGGGGCGGAGGCGAUCGUGAACAUCGACGGCGCCGUGGCGAAGCUGGUGGCUGAGAUGCGGCGCGGCACGGAGUGGUCGCGGGAGUGCGCGGCGGCCGCGCUUGUGCUGCUGUGCCGGCGCGCGGGGGCCGCGGCGGCGUCGCAGGUGCUGGCGAUCAACGGCGUGGAGUGGGCGAUCUGGGAGCUCAUGGGCAGCGGCUCGGAGCGGGCGCGCCGGAAGGCGGCGUCCCUCGGCAGGACGUGCCGGCGCUGGGCGGCCGCCAACGCGGCGCAGAACGCGGAUUGCCCCACCUCCACCGUCUCGACGGCGACCGUGGCGGCGUCGUGAACUCAUUCUUCUUCCGUGACACCGAAUUGAUCCGUAGGAACAAGCUGAAAACCCCAACGAAAAAAAGUAGAUAAUUCUUGUGCUGUACAAAAAUUGGUUUGCUGAAUGCCUUGUAAUUCUAGGCUGUGGUGCGAUUCUUUAGCCCCGGUGGGUAAACACAAAACACAGAGUAAUUGAAUCAACUGUGCAUACAGAACAUUCGUUGCUUCUUUCGUUCUUCUUCGUUGUUGUUGUGAGAUCUUGUAAUACAAAUUGAAAGAAAAUAAUAGUUGUACAAAUUGUGCUCAUUCUUGAUUCCUCAUCUUGGCAGAUUGCAAUAAUUUUGUAGUUGAUGGGCGAGAGCAGCUAGUUAAGUCGUCGCGGAUGCACGGCGCUCGUGAUGAGUGGUUGCCGGGACGGCGGGACCGGAAAUGGCCAGCCAUUCCCAGCCGUCCGUCCGUCCGCCCGUCGGCAAGGAGUGCACGGUACCCAGACGAAUAAGUCCCGCGGCUGGAAACGCACCACGAGCAGCAGCAAAGCCACCGAUCCAGCUAGCCAUCACCGGCUUUCCGGCAGAAAGGGCGGCGCUUUGGCUGCUGCCAGCCGGUGCGCAUCCACGCCAUGCUAUGCUAGCAGUACUCCACUGCUAAUCUAACCUACAUGAUUCGGCAUUGACAAUCCGCUUGGUUCCUUUCUUGUCCCUCAAAGCGAGAUGCACUCCAGGGUGUCGAUGUGCUUCACAUGGGCUCUUUGCCGAAUUUGACCAUUGAUCUGCCGUUCCAAGUACUCCUGGUUGAGAACAUGCAUGCUUGGUGCUUCAGUGCUUCUUCAGUGGCGGUGCCUAUCAUCUUUCCAUCCCAACCCGUGCGGCCCGCUCCCCUGUCCUAAUCAGCCUCACGUUGCUUCUUCUCAAAUGGCAAAGGCAUACGCAUCUGGUUGCAGGUAGGCGUUGUUUUUCUGCUGCCCACUUCUUCUUCCGUGGCCAGGACUAGUUCUUGCGUGAAAUUAAAAUGUGCUUGAAUCCUGAUAGUGUUAUAAGAUGUUGAACGGAGCUCCUGAAAAGUCAAGGCUGUACCGUUAGUACUAUGUGAAGCAAUUCAUGCCCGCCACUUGGGCAUAUGCCGUAUGUUGCCUUGCCUGAUUAAUCUGGCAUGGUUGGCGGGCUCUGAAGCUAGCGCCUGCAUCCUGUCGACAGGGACGGCCUCUGCGAUCCGACCUCUGAGCGGGGGGAGGUAGGUAACCGUCGCUCGCUAAUGGCGUGGACCGGAGGGCGCACCACAUGGGUUUUUGAUUGUGAUUUGUCACCUCGUGUUGCUUUGAUUUGCAAGAGAUUGACUAGCUGAAGAAGAAGACGAAGGUAACUUCUCCGCAACAAAAGAAAGGGAGGAGGAGGAGAAGGAUCUCGUGCAGAAGCGGAUGGCGAUUUUGACUUUGAGCGAUUUUUCAUAGUAAUACAUAUGUGACUCCUAUGCAACAACUUAAUGUAAACUUUCUUUUUUAAAGAGAAAACUUGAUGAGAACUCAUAUGUAUAAGCUUCACAAAAUGUGGAAAAAACAACUCAGGCUCGUAUAGGAUUAUAAGAUAGGCAGACACAUAUUCAGGUGAAUUUUGCUGAAAAUACAUGAUUAGGUGCGUGCUCCGGAUGAUCACUUAUUGGUUAACUGGC